GAUUUCUGACAUUAAUGCGCUUGGCCCGCUACGGUUACGUAUGUGAGUGCCGAGUCGUGUUUGUCAUCCUUCUAGAAAAUGUUAGUUUGCUCUUCAUUGAGUUUAAUUAUCACGAUCUAGAUCUUUUACUUUGAAAAAAUUAGAGUGUUUAAAGCAGGCGUUUGCUAUGAAUACAUUAGCAUGGAAUAAUAAUUUAGGACUUUGGUUCUAUUUUGUUGGUUUCUAGAACUGAAGUAAUGAUUGAUAGGGAUGGUUGGGGGUGCUCGUAUUCAGUGGCCAGAGGUGAAAUUCUCGGAUUCACUGAAGACGAACUUAUGCGAAAGCAUU
rnacentral:rRNA from 3 species